rnacentral:ncRNA from 26 species
GUCCGGUGAGAUUCCGGCACUGUCCCGCAACGGUAAUGCGACUCCCGAUAGUUAUCGGCGCGUCGUAAGUCCGG